UACGAAGGGGGCUAGCGUUGCUCGGAAUCACUGGGCGUAAAGCGCACGUAGGCGGAUUGUUAAGUCAGGGGUGAAAUCCUGGAGCUCAACUCCAGAACUGCCUUUGAUACUGGCGAUCUUGAGUCCGGGAGAGGUGAGUGGAACUGCGAGUGUAGCGGUGAAAUGCGUAGAUAUCUGGAGGAACACCGGUGGCGAAGGCGGCAUCCUGGACCAAUUCUGACGCUGAGGAGCGAAAGCCAGGGGAGCAAACGGG
rnacentral:rRNA from 1 species